CCAGACUCCUACGGGAGGCAGCAGUGAGGAAUAUUGGUCAAUGGGCGGGAGCCUGAACCAGCCAAGCCGCGUGAGGGAAGAAGGUACAGCGUAUCGUAAACCUCUUUUGUCAGGGAACAAAGGCGGGGACUAGUCCCCGGAUGAGGGUACCUGAAGAAAAAGCAUCGGCUAACUCCGUGCCAGCAGCCGCGGUAAUACGGAGGAUGCGAGCGUUAUCCGGAUUUAUUGGGUUUAAAGGGUGCGUAGGCGGAGUGUCAAGUCAGCGGUAAAAUUUCGGGGCUCAACCCCGUCGUGCCGUUGAAACUGGCAGUCUCGAGUUUGAGAGAAGUAUGCGGAAUGCGCGGUGUAGCGGUGAAAUGCAUAGAUAUCGCGCAGAACCCCGAUUGCGAAGGCAGCAUACCGGCGCCCAACUGACGCUGAGGCACGAAAGCGUGGGUAUCGAACAGGAUUAGAUACCCUGGUA
rnacentral:rRNA from 1 species